CUAGGGCUUGUAACUUGCCCGGACGAUAUCUCCUUCAAUUCUUAACCUUUUCAGGGUGAUUUAGUCAAUUGUUAUUCCUCGUGUACCCGUGCGAUAAAUCUCGUGGAUUAACUCUUCGCAACCUGUUUUCAAAGUUGAUGAUCAAGUGAUGUGGAGACGUAGCAUGGGCCUUAGGAAAUUAAAUUGAAAUCUUGAUAUAUUUGUUUUGAAUAAUGUAUGAACAAUUUUGACUAUUAUAUGUUAUGUGACUAUUUAAAUGGUUAUGCUUUAAAUAUUGAAACAAUAAUUAGUUGUCAUGAGCUACGGGCAAUCAUCAUGCCCCGUACCUUUCCGCUGCGGGUCGGGGUGUGACAUCACGCUCCAUGUUCAUGUCAAACUCCGGGUGCGA